rnacentral:lncRNA from 1 species
CAUUUCUAUGCAUUGAAUGAAAGUGUCCAAUUACAAAGUUAAUUCUGUAACAUACUUUUUAAAUUUAAACAGCAAAAAUGUUGCAUCCAAAAUGAAUCUCUAUAGCCCCCCAAAAGACAUAUAUGCAGGAAGACCAAGGGUUUGGUGAAAAUUAAAAAUAUUUCAUACUUUGAAAUUUAGAAUUAAUUUAAUUUAGAAUCAUUCCCAAAUUUUAUAGUCUAGAUUGAAAUAUUAAUUUGAAAUUACCUUGGCCACUGAAAUCCUAAAUUUAACACUCUUUAGAACAAAAUAGCCUUUCUCUUCUGCUUUAUGGGCAAAUGAACUAAAUGCUAGGAAAUGGUACUGCCUGGGCCUUUGAACCAAGGCUAAAAGAGAUGAAAUGCUAUCUGAUGUGUAUAAACAUUAGAGAACCCAUUUUGAGCUAAUAAAAGGAUGAGUUUGUUUCAUAUCCUGUGACACAAUAUUCCCUCUUUUCUGAAAAUGCUCUCAUUUUAACAAUAGGGGGUUUUAUUUUUUUUUUUCUCCUCCAGGGUAGGGGUAGAGGAAUCAAGAUAGCUGUUAUAUUCCUUUAUUAAAAUGUACUGUGACGAAAAAUUCAGAGUGUGGAUGGGGAAACAAGCCUGGACUUUACCAAAACAUAAAGCUGCAUUUAGGGCAGCUGGUAAAGGGUUAACAGCAACAGUACAAAUUCAUUAUUUGCAAACUCGACAUUCCCCAAAUCUCUCUAACACCUUGCUUUAAAAG